CAUGAGUAAUCUUCCUCCAGCAGUCAAGUGUGCCUGUGUACAUGAUAUCAGUUCCUUUGCAUCCUGACUGCAUCAUCAUGCAGCAGCGAACGGUGUUAAAUGGAUAGGAAGUCAACCCAGCAAUGGCAGUGACAGUCUGUGCAUCAUCCAGCUGAUGACGAUUCUCUUGAAGCAGUCUCCGAAUGUGGAGCUCUCCUUCCCACAGCAAUCAGAAGGCUCCAAUGUCUUUAGUGGUACAAAGACAGGAACAUUGUUUCUCACUUCAUACCGGGUGAUUUUCAUAACUUCACGCUCCAUCAAUGAUCCCAUGCUGUCUUUUAUGAUGCCAUUUGAUCUGAUAACGAACCUCACCGUUGAACAACCAGUAUUUGCUGCAAACUUCAUUAAGGGAACUAUUCAGGCAGCUCCAUAUGGUGGCUGGGAAGGACAAGCUACUUUUAAAUUAGUCUUCAGAAAUGGAGGUGCCAUUGAAUUUGCCCAGUUGAUGGUGAAAGCUGCCUCUUCUGCUGCCCGAGGAUUUCCACUUAGAACCUUAAAUGACUGGUUCAGCUCUAUGAGAAUUUAUGUAAUUACUGGGGAAGGGAAUAUAUGCACUCCACAGAUGCCUUGUUCAGUUAUUGCCUAUGGAGCCGCACCUGCAGGAUAUGGAGCCCCACCUCCCGGAUAUGGAGCCCCACCUGCAGGAUAUGGAGCCCCACCUCCCGGAUAUGGGGCCCCACCUGCAGGAUAUGGAGCCCAACCUGCAGGAAAUGAAGGCCCGCCUGUGGGAUACAGAGCCUCACCUGCAGGAUAUGGAGCUCCACCUCUUGGCUAUGAAGCCCCACCUGCAGGAAAUGAAGGCCUGCCUGCGGGAUACAGAGCCUCACCUGCUGGAUCUGGAGCCAGGCCUCACGAAUCUGCAGCAGCCCAGGCUCCUGAAAACGAGGCUUCUCUUCCCUCUGCCUCCUCUUCUUAGGUCCAUUCUUAACCUUCUAAGAUGUAAACCUUGAAGACUCAUCAAGCAAAGAGGUACCCUAAAAUUGAAGUCAGGAUAAGGAGGAGGACUCAGCUUAGAGUCAUUGAUUGAUCUGCGUUGUGAAAAUUAGGAAACCAGAUGCUCCCAUGUUUUCAAGGACAGCCUUUCUUAAGGAAGUCAGUACGUGGGCAACAGUGACAAGGAGAGGAAGAGAGGAGAAACUCAACCAACUCGAGCAGGGAUAAGGUUUCCCUUGUUCAGCUUUUCAGUGUCUGCUGGAAUGUGACGAUUCUGCCCUCUCAGCUGUGCUGUUGGUCUGCAUCACCUCCAUCUCUUAAGCAUCUACCCUAAUCCAAAUCUCAGGAUUUGGGUUUACACAAAAGAUUACCUCAUUGUCAGGUAGGAAAUGAAACAUACGGUAUUCUUCCUGGCCUUUGCCUUGAGAGUCUUCUGGAGCCUGAAGAGGGUGGGGCAGACAACCAUGGACUGCUAAAGAAUAAACUUUUUUUGAAGCUUCCAAAAUGGAUUAGAAAGAAGGGGUUCUGUCAAAGGGAAAGGGUCUAUACAGAUGUGAUCAGCAGUUUGAUUAGUUUAGAUGUGUGAUUUAGUAGCCAACAUAAGAAACUUGUGUAAUUUUUAGUAAUUGGAAUUUAUUAUAAAUAAUAAAACAGGGUAUUAAUUGAGUUAUUAAUGUUAUGGUAUCUUUGGGGUGUCACUUUUCUGGCCAGAAACCUCUGUGGCCAAGUGGCACCUCUGCCCAAGUUUUGCUUGGGCCCACUGGGUUCAUUCCACCCACCUGGCCUGGAAGGCUGCACUUGGCUCAUGCUACUGGCCUGGAUCCCAUGCCUGCCAAGGGAGAUUGCGUGGAGUGACAAGGGGCAUGUGGGGAAGUGUGGGGUCUGGCUGUUGUUCAGUCAGACGUGCCAGCUGCUGCAGGGGGUGGUCAGCUUCAGUUACCAGCAUGGGUGCCAGUUCUCUGCCAGGCUGCAGCUGGACCAGUCACACUCCAAGCAGCUUCCACAGCUGGCACCAACGAAAAGGUGGCGCCCAGAAACUUGGAGAUGCCAGGAACCAUAGGGCCCCAAAGAGGGAGUCACAGCCCUGACUCGGAGAGCUCCCAGAUCUGGGCUUCCCAAAGGGUCGCAGCUCUUCUUUUCUUCUCUUUGUCCACAACAUGGUGAGCAAGGGGCAUGUCUUAGCCCUGUUUGUGUUGCAGGUCUUUUAGCCUCAUUUGGUGGGUCCAGAGUUAUUGAAUGAGGUACACAGACAAGUAGAGGGUGAGCAAUGAGAAUGAGGUACACAGACAAGUGUGGUGAGCAAGACAAAGAGCAGCUAUUGAGUGACAAUAGCUCAGAGGAGGCCUUGGAGUGGGUAGCUCCUAUCUGCAGGCAGGUCUUCCUGUCAUCUCUGCAGCUCUCAGCAGAGAGGAGGCCCUGGAGUGGGUAGGUCUUCGCUGCAGCUAGUUGUCCUGAUGUCUGCUGCUCUCAGCAGAGAGGAGGUCCUGGAGUGGGUAGCUCCUCCCUGCAGCUGGUCAUCCCAACAUCUGCUUAGCUCUGGCUGAGCCCAGGGCUUUUAUAGGCCUCAGAGGGGAAGAAAUGCGUAUCAGUUGGUCCAUAUGUGGCCAUGGGCAGGCCCAGAAAAGGCACCACAAGUUCUCACUCCAGUCCGUGGGACUGGCAUCCUGACCCUCAGCUUUCAAGCCCUCCCUGGCCUGCAGGUGGGACCUCACCAGGGACCCAUCCCCUUCUACUCAGGAAUCUGUCUGCCUCCUGCCAUUCAUGGUACCCAGGCUAUAGGUGCCAAGCCAAGCUGCUCUCAGCUCCCCUCGGUUUCCUUCUAUGCUCAUUGGUGCCCAAAAUCUGGAGGGGGCUGAGGCGGUAGGGGGCUGGUGAGUCAGCACUGCCCAACUUUGCUCUGAGAUCAGAGAAGGCAGGGAGAAGCUAGGCAGUAGGAACAGGCAUUUCCAUGCCUGCAAGGGCAAGGGAGGCCUUCCUGGGCCCCCAACAAUGCAGGGAUGCCAGGGUCUGCAGCCAUGGCUUGGGUGGCUGCAGCAGCAUCCAGGGAGCUCCUGCCUCAACUUGGAAGGGGCGGGUCUCCCGCUUAUCCCUGGCUUUUGCCUUCUCCAUGGAGCAUGCAGCCCUGGCCAUGCCUAGUUGUUACAGCCAGCGUGAUGGCAGCAGCUGCUCCAGAUGGCCUGCUGCUGCCAUCAUUAAUAUGUAGCUAUUAAGCACAGUUGGUGAAUCACUUUUUUGUCUUUUCAAUUGUUUUGUGAUAAUUUAAUUUUUAUGACAUAUAAAAAUUAUAUAUAUUUAAGGUUUACAACUGAAUUUUUGUGAAACAUUGUGAAAUGACCAUCACAUUCCAACUAAUUAACAUAUCUAUUACCUGUAUGUAGUUACCAUUUUUAUACCCUUUGACCUACAUCCUCCAUUUCCCCGUCUUCCCAGCCCCUGGCAUCCACAAUCCUACUUUCUGUUUUUAUAGUUUGACUAUUUUAGAUUUGACAUAAAAGGGAGAUCAUGCAGUAUUUCUCUUUCUGUGUCUUGCCUAUUUUGUUUAACAAAACUUCCUCCAGCUUCAUCUAUUUUGUUACAGAUGGCAGGAUUUUCUUUUUUAAAGGCUGAAUAAUAUUCCAUUUUGUAUGUGUGUAUACUCAUAUUUUCGUUAUCUGUUCAUCCAUUGAAGGACAUUUAGGUUGUUUCCAUGUCUUGACUAUUGUGCAAAAUGCUACAGUGAACAUGGGAAUACAGAUAUCCCUUUACUAUCCUGUAGGAUUGUUUGAUCAUAUGUUCUAUUUUUUUUUUUUUGA